rnacentral:lncRNA from 1 species
GUUUGUCAAACUCUAAAUUGCACACCGGUUUGCAGGACGCUUUCCUGCCCCCAGUACAAGAAUGAAAUAAAAGCCUCACUGCGGAAGAGAGUGAAACAGCCAGCAAAACUUUUUUUAAAAAUGUGAUACAGUUAUUUCCCACAAUAAAGUGCUAAAUGGAAGGGGGGAAACGCAGUGUAGGGAACUGUUCCUAUAGUACCAUUCCAGGAAUAUAAAAAGAUAAUUUAUAUUUACAGAGGAAACCACAGGGGACCAAUGGGGUUCUUGUGCAUUUACUCAACAGAUAUACAACGAGAACACACUGCGAGGCACUAUUCAAUGGGUGUGCUGCACACUCAAUGGUUUUCUAUACUCAGGGGGAGUGACUUCUACAAUGAGAGAAUAUAUUUUACCAUAUAUGAAACCCAGGUCCACAAACCCAGGACAACCCAAGAAGAGACCUUGACAAGACGAUUCCGAGAGGCAGAAAUACAAGAUGCGAAGGAACCUAGGCAGCUCCGGAGGAGAAAGGCCAACUGGAAAAGCAAACGGGCCUUGCCGGCAGGCAGGGAAUUUUCCGAAGGGGGCGCGCUGAAGGCUGCAGCCGGCCCGGGAGCGGCCCAGCCCGCGCAGACGCAGAAAGAAGCCGCCCUCUCCACGGACAAGGCUCCGCGCAGUUUUUUCAAGCACGAAGGGCGGGGCAGGAGGGCGGCUGGUCGGCUGCACGGCGCAACACUGCCACCUGCAGACCAGAGAAACCCCACGCCACCCACCCCAGCGAAAACUCCAUCUUUUCCGCGGCCGUUCCGCGCAACGACCUGGAGCUCGUGGCUCAGGAAGGCCGGCGGGAGGGAGAUGAGGACCACGGAAAGGAAGAGAAGCGGCCAGAGCGGCCCCGGCAACCGGGCUGGGGCACCGCCGCCUUCCCGGCCCCGG